AACUGCCUCCUCGAUUCCGCUGAUAGCUCCCUAAUUUUCGGGCCGAUUCUGCCUUCCCGAUACUUCUUUCUCUCCCCAGAUCGAGUAAAACGGCGCCGCCGCUCCUUCCUUCUCCUCCUCCUGUGCACUUCCUCCCGAUCCACCCCGCCUCCGGUCGUCGCCCGCGCUCCUGCAAGCCGCCGCCGACCUCCUCGGCCGAUCAACCGCGCCCAACGCCCUCCUUUGUUUUCUUUCCCUCUCCUCACUAAUUUCUCUCUGUUCCCAAACUACAGGACGCAAUGGCCAUCGGAGGCAGGGGACGCGGCUGCGAUGGCUCCGAGCUCGGCGGCGUGGAAGCCAUUGGAGGCGCUGGCGAGGCCAAGGUAGGUGAGCCUGGCAGCGGCGGUCUGGUGCAUUGAGCGCAGGUAGGACUUCCUCAUGAGUUGUUUUCCUCCAACGCCGGGGUGUGGAUCUACGUGCGGGUUGCAGCCGCCGCCACCGCCUCGAUCCCGACCCCCUUCCCCCCGCUUCCCGGGGACAGACCCCGUCGCCUUCUCCCUUCUUCCUCGGACCCCAAGACGUCCUGCUGUCAUCUCCACCCCGUCCCAGUCUUCAUCCGACCAUCAGAUUUUGAAGGAAGGAGAGAAGUCUGCUAAGCCACCCCCUUAGGAAGCGGAUGGACUAGCUCGACGCGGUCUUUUCCUGCCCAUUCUGCAAUCAUGGGAGCAGCAUUGAAUGCCGGAUUCAUAUGCACAACCUCACCCCAUCAUUGUGCGCCCAGUCUGUCCGCUCACGCAUUCACAUUGAGGAAGAUGAUGAGUACCUCGGCCAUGCCGCCGUCCUCUCCCCAUCGUGGCGCGCCCCCGCUCGUCAUCCGUCUGCAGCUUUUCCAGUCCCGGCCGCCGGAGAGUCUCGCUGCUGGGAACAAGCACCUUGCAAUCGUGGUGUGCUUCUCCGUUGGUGCUGUCGUAUAGACAUCUUGCAAGUAAGUGACCUUCAAUCCAAAUAUCUUUCUCUGCACUUGAUUUCAGUUGCUUUCUUACGGUCUCCUGAAUUACUUGGCAUGUGUCAGCCAUUCUGAAUAGGGAACAUUCUUACGGGACAUCAUGUUCACUUGGGAUACUUACUGGAUUAAGGAAGAAAUUUUGAAAUGCUUCUGAAACAAUAUCGUUUCAUUAUUUGAGGACUUUGGGUAGUUCAGCAUGUUCGAUUGAGCAUAAUUAAGAAGCUUCAUUUGUAAUUAUAUAUAAAAAAUUGUAAAAUGAUCUGUAAAAGUUGAACUUCUCACCAAAAUUAUAUCACUGAAGUUAAAUCAAGUGAAAAAAUAGUGUGCUGCAGUGCAGUGAAAAAAAUAGUGUGCUGCAGUGCAGUUACUUGCAGCUGGGAUUGAUCUGAUGAAGAAAUUAUUCUGUUAAAAACCUGGCAGAUAGUUUUUCUGCUGGCAAUAUGAUUACACUUGUUUGGAUGUGCUUGUUUUGGAUUAAAUGAUAGAAUGGGUGUUGUACUGUUGUUCUUGAUUUUUUCACUUAUUUAGUAGUGUUUGACGGGCAUUCUGAUCAUCUUUUGAGACCACUUUCAAGAUGGUACCUGAUUGAAAAGCUCGGACUUUCCUGUUAGCAAGAGUAUUUUAUAUCUGACCAUGAAAAUCUGUAAUGCUAUUGUUCCUACAGAUUCAAGAACUCAGAUUUAGUAACAGAUAGAUUUUUAUCAUGCCUCGCUAUGAAAUCAUGUUUGGUUGCAGUGCAAAGGUCAAUUGAGAAUGUGAGAUCCUUUGUGAAGAACUGUAGAUGCUUGCUUGUCGACUGCCUAGAGAUUUUGUUUCUGAAUUUUUUUGUGUUGAUCGCAGGAUGUUGCUGAUAUAUGGUCGUGUUUGUUCAAAAAAGUCAUGAGGUGUUACUGAUCAGGAUAUUAAUAUAUCCCAAUCUCAUCACAGGAUUUGUUCACUGGGUUUCUGAAACUAUAUAGCAUUUUAUUAGUUAUGGGUUGGGGCAGUCUUCCUUUUUUCCUCUUGAGAAAACAUUGAAGCUUAAUGUCUUGAUGCAUUUGAAAAAGAGAAUGGCAAAACAAAACAGUUUACUUAAGGGUUACAUGAGUGCCUCUGAAUUUUAAAAAAAUGUCAGCAAUAGUUUCCUGUUUUGACUAAGAUUCUUUAUUUUCUUGGGAGCAAGCAUUUUCUGUAAUUCACACCACAACAUGACGGCAUGUGCAUAGAAAAAACCAUCAUUUCGGUAAUCGGAAUAUUAGCUUCGGUAGCCUCAUUUGCAAUUGUGUAUGUCUGUCAGGUUGAUGCCGAGGUAGCUAGCAAAGAUGCAUGAUGCAUAUAUUAUUCAGUACUGUUCUUACUGACGUUUUUCUUUCUGAUGAUAAACCACGGGGAUAAAUUGGCAAUGUAUCUCUUCACCUUCCAGAAUGAGAGCUUCACAGAGGUCCUCCUGGUGUGGGAGAUCAUGAGAGCCUAGAAAUGCAAAUGAGGCUGGAAGGAUUAUUUCGUUGGUGUCCGAGAGCGAAAUAUAUUGUGUAGCAAAGUUAGCCAUGGACCCUGUGUGGGAGCUUUGGGAUGAUGAUCUUGCCGCUACGCUGGUCAUGUGUCAAGCGUACGCCUUUUACUUUUAAUACACGGCAUUUUUGAGGUGCAGGAUUUCUCCAACAGCACUAUACAUAGGGCCUUCCAGACUAUCUCAUAGAUUUUAUCCUGUAAAGUCGUCUGAGUUGUUUCAUAUUGUCGAGUGUGAAUGAAUUGCAGGGGAUGCCACUUCUGCUGGUUGGGAUGUUGAUGGCGUGUGUGCUUUUUGCCGCUGCUAGCAUCUAGAUCGGUAGUAUAGUGCACAACUGCAUUAGCUUGGGAUGUAUGUGCUUCAAUAUUUUUUUCCUGUUGGGCUUUAAUAUUCUACUAAAUUUCUGAUCGAUAAAAAUGUUUGUGGCUACUAUAGUACUACCUCCUUUCCAAAAUAGAUGACUCAACUUUUUACAACUUUAGUACAAAGCUGAGUCAGCUAUUUUGGAACGGAGGGAGUAAAUGUGAAAUAUACAAACAUUUAUUCCUUGUUUUCUUAUAUCGUCUAAUGUGUUUGGCACUUUUUCUUUCAGAUUUACCUCUCAUUGUACAACAGGUGCAAGGUCUCAACAUGUUCAAGGCUACUUCCAGCUCUUCUUUUUUCAUUUUCAUCUUAUUUUUGUUCAUGCAUUUUUGUACCAUACAAGGACUUGAGGUGAUUCGUUGGUUGUAGGGCAUGGGGAGCUUCACAAUUAUGUUAGCUCUAUACUGAAUGUAUCAAAACAUUGUUAUGGUUACUUCUUAUUGUUUGGUUACACAAAGUCAUGGCAGCACAAGUUGUAUGUAUAUCUUGAGAUACAUGAUGAUGCGUCUUUGUGAGAUUAAUUGUGAAC